GGAAAGGUUUACAGUGGAUACCUAGGCACCGAGAGAUGAGGAAGGGCAUAGUAAUCGACGAAAUGCUUCGGGGAGUUGAAAAUAAUCAUAGAUUUGGAGAUUCCCAAAUAGGGCAACCUUUCGGACUGCUGAUGAAUCCAUGGGUAUGAAAGAGACAACUUGGCGAGCUAAAACAUCUUAGUAGCCAAAGGAAAGGAAAGCAAAAGUGAUUCCCGUAAUAGUGGUGAGAAAAAUAGGAGAAGCCUAAACCAUGAAAAUGGGGUUGUGGGAAAACAAUACAAGUGUCGUGCUUCUAGGCGAUGCAGCCUGAAUGUUUCACCCUAGAUAGCGAAAGUCUAGUAGCCGAAAGCAUCACUAGCUUACACUCUGACCCGAGUAGCAUGGGGCACGUAGAAUCCCAUGUGAAUAAGCAAGGACCAUCUUGCAAGGCUAAAUACUCAUGGGUGACCGAUAGCAAAGUAGUACCAUGAGGGAAGGGUGAAAAAAACCCCAUCGGAGAGUGAAAUAGAACAUGAAAUUGUAAGCUCACAAGCAGUGGGAGGAGCCAUGGCUCUAACCGCGUGCCUGUUGAAGAAUGAGCCACCGACUCAUAUGGAGUGGCUUGGUUAAGGGAACCCACCAGAGCCGUAGUGAAAGCGUCUUCAUAGGGCAAUUGUCACUGCUUAUGGACCUAAACCUGGGUAAUCUAUCUAUGACCAGGAUGAAGCUUGGGUGAAACUAAGUGGAGGUCUGAACCGACUGAUGUUAAAGAAUCAACAGAUGAGUUGUGGUUAGGGGUGACAUGUCACUCGAACACAGAUCUAGUUGGUUCUCCUCAAAAUGCAUUGAGGCGCAGCAGCUGACUGAACAUCUAAGAGUAACACUAUUUCAAUGCUAGCCGCGAGAGCGCUACCAAAUCAAGACAAACUCUGAAUACUAGAUAUGACCUCAAAAUAACAAGGGUCAAGUUUGGCUAGUGAGACGAUGGGGAUAAGCUUCAUCAUCGAGAGGAAAACAACCCAGAUCACUAGCUAAGUCCCCUAAAUAACCGCUUAGUGAUAAAGGAGGUAGGGGUGCAGAGGCAGCCAGGAGGUUUGCCUAGAAGCAGCCACCCUUGAAAGAGUGCGUAAUAGCUCACUGCUCGAGUGCUCUUGCGCCGAAGAUGAACGGGGCUAAGAGUUCUGCCAAAGCUGUGGGAUGCAAGAAUACAUCAAUAAGGGAGCGUUCCUCCUUAGAGAGAAGUCUUCGCGCUAACGGUGGUGGUUGAAGCGGAAGCUAGAAUGUCGGCUUGAGUAACGCAAACAUUGGUGAGAAUCCAAUGCCCCAAAAACCUAAGGGUUCCUCUGCAAGGUUCAUCCAUGAAGGGUGAGUCAGGGCCUAAGAUCAGGCCGGAAGGCAUAGUCGAUAGACAACAUGUGAAUAUUCCUAUACUACCCCUUGUUAGUCCCGAGGGACGAAGUAGGCUGGGUUAGUCAAAAGAUGGUUAUUGGUUCAGGAGCAUAAGGUGUCCCUGCUUUUUCAGGGUAAGAAGGGGUAGAUAAAAUGCCUCGAUCCAAUGUGCAAAUACCAGGCGCUACGGCGCUGAAGUAACCCAUGCCAUACUCCCAGGAAAAGCUCGAACCACGUUAAGCAAGAGGGUACCUAUACCCUAAACCAACACAUGUGGGUCAGUAUAAAUACCUAGGGGUGUGAGACAACUCUGUCUAAGGAACUCGGAAAAAUAGCCCCGUAACUUCGAGAGAAGGGGUGCCUCCUCACAAAGGGGAUUGCAGUGGUCAGGCUUGGGCUACUGUUUACCAACAACACAGGUCUCCAUAAAGUCGUAAAACUGUGUAUGGGGACUAACGCCUGCCCAGUGAUGGAAGGUCAAGGUAGUUAGUGACCUGAUGAAAAGGGAGUCGGCGAUCGAAGCCCCAUUGAAUGGAGACCCUAACUAUAAUGGUCCUAAGGUAGCGAAAUUCCUUAUCGGGUAACUUCCGACCCGCACGAAAGACGUAAUGAUCUAGGCACUCUCUUGGAGAGAAGCUUGGUGAAAUAGACAUGUCUAUGAUGAUGCGGACUACCUGCACCUGGAUAGAAAGACCCUAUGAAGCUUCACUGUUCCUUGGGAUUGGCUUUGGGCCUUUCUUGCGCAGCUUAUGUGGAAGGCAGAGAAGGCCUCCUUCCGAGGGGACCCGAGCCAUCAGUGAGAUACCACUCUGAAAGGGCUAGAAUUCUUACCUUUUUUCAGGACUUACAGGCCAAGGGAGAGUGUCAGGUAGAUAGUUUAUAUGGAGCCUAUGUGUAACACUCCGAAAAAUUAGAAGACUACACUAGAGCUUAAUGUAAAACUAGUAGCCUAAACUAGAGCCUAACGUAAGGAUUAGAGUCAUAAAUAACUCCCGAUAGUUAAAAUGCAGAUUUUAGGGGUUAAACAUCAAGGUACGACUCCCCAAGGACCAACCAAGGGUCCUUGAGGAGGGCCCAAAACAGCCCCAAAUAAACUGCCCAAAAGGGGCCACCUACGGAUGGGACCUACGCCCUGUAGGUGGACCCAUGCCCCGUGGUUGGGUAUCGUGGGUCAAGAUCCAAGGUGAGGAGUUGCAGGACACCACCCAUGGAGGUGCAGCACGCCCCGUAGACCCACCCACGGUCUGUGGGUCAUGCUGCACACUGUUCAAAUUCGGCCUAGGCAAGGAGGUUUUAAGUAAUUUCCUUUUUAGUUAAUUUGAUGUGGGGUCAUUUUAUAUUGUUUUAAUACACCUAUAUAAGAGUUUUUAAGUCAUUAACCACCUCAUACACCUCAUAAAUCCAACUACAAGAGAACCAGGAACGGAGGCUUUCCCCCUUCGCCCGACUCUUUGGUCUUAAGAACGCUGGUUUUAAGAAUGAGUCAUUGCCAUUCUAUCCCAAGAUCCAAAUCCAUAACCAACUUUU
rnacentral:rRNA from 1 species